rnacentral:pre_miRNA from 1 species
UGAUGAUGAUGAUGAUGAUGCUGAUGAUGAUGGUGAUGGUGGUGAUGGCGGCUGCCGUGGUGGUAAUCGCUAUCGUCAUCAUCAUUACCAUCAUCGUCAUCAUCACUUCAUUAUCA